rnacentral:lncRNA from 13 species
UGUGCCAAGGGGUGAGUCCCCAGAUCCUGGAGGACAAGUUAGCCUGGCGAAGGAUGGCAGAGGACCCGGCCCAGGGGUCCCCAAAGUGGAGCACCAACGCUCCACGCAGGCCAAGUCACUGGAAAGAAAUCAGCUUGAUCAACACAUACUGUAAAGACCUCACCGCCCUCCGGAGGCCCUCCCUCGGCCCUGGUGCUGGGGGCAGCCAUGUCCCCUUGCAGCAGGGGGAGGCCUGAAGCACAGAAGGGCCCACACAGGUCCGUUCUGUUUCAGCGAAUUGCCUGGUGAUAACAAAGACUGCUGCUGUGGUGGUCCUGGGACACACUGCACAGAUCCCCUUUCGACAGAGGACUGCUGCCUUCCUGCUGGAAGGGCUGUCAGCAGACAGAUCUCCAUCCUCCAAGGAUGCUCCAGCUGGAGAGAACUGCCUUGUCUCAGGCCACAGCCUUUCUCUUAGUGGUCCAAACCCAGUGACUGAUGGAUGUGGGGAUAAAAAUUCUUGGCCAUCUCAGCCCACCUCUGGACUAGCCCCAGAGGUCCUUACAGAGUGGCUGAGGGUGUCACUUUUCCCUCUGUCCCCUCCACUUCCUUCUCCCACUUUCCACAGGGAUCAUCCCAGGCCUCCUUUAAUGAAUGCUCUGCUAGCUAAAAUCUGUCUCAAUAUCUACUUCCCAGGGCACCUGUUACUGCAAACCCUAAUGAAUUCCUUGUCAACGUCCUAUGAGCUCAGUGACACACCCCGCUUAGUGAAAAAAGCCUCUUUCCCAAAAGCGCUGCACAAUGUAAAACGUGAUACUCCUUGCCUCUGAUUGGCUCUGCCUGAGCUACAUAACCCCUCUCUGAACCAAUCGCUGUGGCUGGAGAAAUGUAGCAUUCUUAUUGGCCAGGCCCGGGUCAUCUGAUCAACUCAGAGCCUGGGUCCAGCCCACUUGAGAUACUGGACUGAGGGGUCAGGGUAACACCCCUGGAGGAC